rnacentral:rRNA from 1 species
CUGGAAUGAUCGGCGGACGGGUGAGUAACACCUAGGGAACCUGCCUCAGGGAUUGGGAUAACUCCGAUAAAUCGGAGCUAAUACCGGAUAGUUCAACGGACCGCAUGGUCCUCUGAUGAGAGGCGCUCCUGCGUCACCUUGAUAUGGCCUUGCGGUGCAUUACCUAGUUGGCGAGGUAACGGCCCACCAAGGCGACCAUGCAUAUCCGACCUGAGAGGGUGAUCCGCCACACUGGGACUGAUACACGGUCCAAACUCCUACCGGAGGCAACAGCACGGAAUCUUCCUCGAUGGACGAGAUUCUGAUGGAGCUACGCCGCGUGAGUGAUGAAGGUUUUCGGAUCGUAAAACUCUGUUGUAAGGGAAGAACNCUGACGAGAGGGAAUGCUCGGACCUUGACGGUACCUUACGAGAAAGCCACGGCUAACUACGUGCCAGCAGCCGCUUGUAAUACGUAUGUGGCAAGCGUUGUCCGGAAUUAUUGGGCGUAAAGCGCGCGCAUGCGGCCUUUUAUUUCUGAUGUGAAAGCCCCCGGCUCGACCGGGGAUGGCCAUUGGAAACUGGAAGGCUUGGGGACAGAAGACAACAGUGGAAUUCCACUUGUAGCGGCGAAAUGCGAAUAGAUGGGAGGAACACCAGUGGCGACCGCGACUCUUUGGUCUGCAACUGACGCUGAGGCGCGAGAGCGUGGGGAGCCACUGGAUUCAUACACUGUAGUCCAUCCANAACUAUGAUGCUAUGGUUCGGGGUUCCGACCUNGCGUUGAGGCUACGUGUACNCACUCGCCUGCGAGU